AACGGGGUGGUGUAGUCUGGAAUCAUCAAAGGCUCAUGCCCCCUAGAUCACCGGUUCAAAUCCAGUCCCCGUUA
rnacentral:tRNA from 1 species